UACGGGGGGGGCAAGCGUUGUUCGGAAUUACUGGGCGUAAAGGGCUGGUAGGCGGCCAACUAAGUCGGAUGUGAAAUCCCCAGGCUUAACCUGGGAACUGCAUCCGAUACUGGUCGGCUUGAAUCCGGGAGAGGGAUGCAGAAUUCCAGGUGUAGCGGUGAAAUGCGUAGAUAUCUGGAGGAAUACCGGUGGCGAAGGCGGCAUCCUGGACCAACACUGACGCUGAGUGAGCGAAAGCCAGGGGAGCAAACGGG
rnacentral:rRNA from 1 species